UGCCCAGCAACUCCUAUCCCUACUUUAGCGUGGUACCGGCUGGGAACUGCGAACAACCUUAGGGAAGAUCGGGUAACCAACUCCGGUGGGAACUCUGGUGGUAGGCUGACAGGGAGGG
rnacentral:ribozyme from 1 species